AUUCUGGUUGAUCCUGCCAGUAGUUAUAAGAUUGUCUCAAAGAUUAAGCCAUGCAUGUCUAAGUACACACGAAUUAAAAGUGAAACCGCAAAAGGCUCAUUAUAUCAGUUAUUGUUCCUUAGAUCGUUAACAGUUAAUUGGAUAACUGUGGUAGUUCUAGAGCUAACACAUGUAAUUAAAAGUAUCUAGGACUACCAUGGUUGCAACGGGUAACGGGGAAUCAGGGUUCGAUUCCGUAGAGGGAGCCUGAGAAACGGCUACCACGUCUAAGGAAGGCAGCAGGCGCGUAAAUUACCCACUCCCAGCUCGGGGAGGUAGUGACGAAAAAUAACAAUACAGGACUCAUAUCCGAGGACCUGUAAUUGGAAUGAGUACACUUUAAAUCCUUUAACAAGGACCAAUUGGAGGGCAAGUCUGGUGCCAGCAGUCGCGGUAAUUCCAGCUCCAAUAGCGUAUAUUAAACGUUCGUAGUUGAGCUUGUGCUUCAUACGGGUAGUACAACUUACUAUUGUGGUUAGUACUAUACCUUUAUGUAUUUAAGCGUAUUACCGGUGGAGUUCUUAUAUGUGAUUAAAUACUUGAAUUUUUUCAUAUGUUCCUCCUAUUUAAAAACCUGCAUUAGUGCUCUUAAACGAGUGUUAUUGUGGGCCGGUACUAUUACUUUGAACAAAUUAGAGUGAAAUAAGACCUCUGUUCUGCUUUCAUUGGUUUUCAGAUCAAGAGGUAAUGAUUAAUAGAAGCAGUUUGGGGGCAUUAGUAUUACGACGCGAGAGCUGAAAUCCUUGGACCGUCGUAAGACUAACUUAAGCAAAAGCAUUUGCCAAAGAUGUUUUCAUUAAUCAAGAACGAAAGAGGUUAAACAAAGGCACCUAGCAAUUGGGUUUAGCUACUUUUAUGGCUCUCUCAGUCGCUUCCCGAGAAACCAAAGCUUUUGGGCUCCGGGGGAAGUAUGGUUGCAAAGUUGGUUGAAACUUAAAGGAAUUGACGGAAGGGCACCACCGGCUUAAUUUGACUAAACACGGGAAAACUUACCAGGUCCGAACAUAAGUGUGUAAGACAGAUUGAUAGCUCUUUCUUAAAUCUAUGGGUGGUGGUUCAUGGCCGUUCUUAGUUCGUGGAGUGAUUUGUCUGGUUAAUUCCAAUAACGAACGAGACUCAAUAUAUUUGAGAUUAAUAUAUUUGAAAGAGAUAUCUUCAGGAUUAUGGUGCUGAAGCUUAUACAGCCUUCAUUCAUGGUGACAGUAAAAUGUUUAUUGUGUUUGAAUGUGUUUAUGUAAGUGGAGCCGUACCUGUUGGUUUGUCCUAUUAUAUGGACACUAGCUUCUUAAAUGGACAAAUUGCGUCUAGCAAUAAUGUAGCUGCACGCGCGCUACAAUGAAAGUAUCAACGUGUAUUUCCUAGACCAGAGGUCCGGAUAAACCGCUCAACCACUUUCAUGCUUGGGAUGGUGAACUGAAAAUGUUCACAUGAACUUGAAAUUCCCAGUAAGUGUGAGUCAUUAACUCGCAUUGAUUACGUCCCUGCCUUUGUACACACCGCCCGUCGCUACUACCGAUUGAAUUAUUUAGUGAGGUCUCCGGACGUGAUCACUGUGACGCCUUGCGUGUUACGGUUGUUUCGCAAAAGUUGACCGAACUUGAUUAUUUAGAGGAAGUAAAAGUCGUAACAAGGCUUCCGUAGGUGAACCUACGGUAG
rnacentral:rRNA from 1 species